rnacentral:rRNA from 1 species
UGCAUAUCAAUAAGCGGAGGAAAAGCCGUCUUGAAACACGGACCAGUGCAUAUCAAUAAGCGGAGGAAAAGAAACCAACAGGGAUUGCCUCAGUAGCGGCGAGUGAAGCGGCAAGAGCUCAGAUUUGAAAUCGUGCUUUGCGGCACGAGUUGUAGAUUGCAGGUUGGAGUCUGUGUGGAAGGCGGUGUCCAAGUCCCUUGGAACAGGGCGCCCAGGAGGGUGAGAGCCCCGUGGGAUGCCGGCGGAAGCAGUGAGGCCCUUCUGACGAGUCGAGUUGUUUGGGAAUA